AUUGAACGCUGGCGGCAGGCUUAACACAUGCAAGUCGAGCGAGCGGCGGACGGGUGAGUAAUGUCUGGGAAACUGCCUGAUGGAGGGGGAUAACUACUGGCAACGGUAGCUAAUACCGCAUACCAUCAGAUGUGCCCAGAUGGGAUUAGCUAGUAGGUGGGGUAAUGGCUCACCUAGGCGAUGAUCCCUAGCUGGUCUGAGAGGAUGACCCGCCACACUGGAAAUGAGAUACGGUGCAAACUCGUACGUGAGGCAGCAGUGGGGCAUAUUCCACAAGGGGCGCUAGCCUGUAGCACUCAAGCCGGGUGUGUGAAGAAGGGCAUCGCGUUGUAAAGCACUUUAAGCGAGGAGGCGUUACUCGCAGAAGAAGCACCGGCUAACUCCGUGCCAGCAGCCGCGGUAAUAC
rnacentral:rRNA from 1 species